rnacentral:rRNA from 1 species
UACGUAGAAGACUAGUGUUAUUCAUCUUUAGUAGGUUUAAAGGGUACCUAGACGUAUAAUUAGUCUUAAAUAGGAUACGGUUAUACUAGAGUUAUAUACGAGGAGGUGAGUAUUUAUGGAGUAGGUAGUAAAUUCUUUGAUACCAUAACGACUGAUAACGGCGAAAGCAACCUUUUAUCUAAUAACUGACGUUGAGGGACGAAGGCUCGGGUAACGAACAGG